GUUGGUUUUUACAUUGUAAUAUGCCAGACGACUCUGGAAUUAGUUCAUAGAAUUCCAUUAAAAAUUUGUCUUGGUUUCGUUUGCGACAAAAUCGUUCAUAAAUUGGCUGUAUAUGGUUUUAUAGAGAAUCGAUCGAUGAUAUACUCGCCAUAUUUGCAGUCAUUUCAUGGUCCCAAAAACCAUCCUUCGUUAUUUUUGCCUUUAUUUUUUCUACAAUUGAGGAUAGCUCUUCUUUUGUAAGUUUAGCUACUGAUGAAGGCACGUUCUUGUCUCCAUGUGCGGUUUUGUUCUUGUGUUUUGCGUUUAUAUGUCUAGUCAACCCUCCCUUUGACUUACAAAUCUUCUCGCAGCUAUUGCAAGGGAACGAUUUUUCGCCAGAUAUUUCGCUUAUAGCAUCAUCAAUCUCUUCUUCCAUCAGGUCUUCAUUUCCUUCGACUACAGACAAAGCGAUGUGAAAGUUAAACGGCAAAAUAUCUUCACCUUUCAGCAAACCCACACUCCUCGCCAACCAAACUCGAAGUACAUUCGCCUUCUAUUUCUUCUGGAAUCGACACAAUUGCCUCCAAAUCGUCGUCCAUUACCCUUACUUAGUUAUACUUUAGUAUCACAGAAAGCCGAGUUACUUUAGUGCAAUAUUUUGGCGAGAAAAGACGAAAAUAUUGCCAGCUGUAAUAUAUUCCCUUGUGUAUUUGAGACAAUCACCCCCUUAUCUCGUCACGUGAAAUUUUUUUCCUUUGUGCCUCAACAUAUUUGCCGCCGCUUGCGAAAACUCUUUGAAGUUUGCCGGCUAGCCAAAC